UACGUAGGGUGCAAGCGUUGUCCGGAAUUAUUGGGCGUAAAGAGCGUGUAGGCGGCCCGGUAAGUCCGCUGUGAAAGUCGGGGGCUCAACCCUCGAAUGCCGGUGGAUACUGUCGGGCUAGAGUGCGGAAGAGGCGAGUGGAAUUCCUGGUGUAGCGGUGAAAUGCGCAGAUAUCAGGAGGAACACCGGUGGCGAAGGCGGAUCUCUGGGCCAUUACUGACGCUGAGGAGCGAAAGCGUGGGGAGCGAACAGG
rnacentral:rRNA from 1 species